rnacentral:rRNA from 1 species
CCUACGGGGGGCAGCAGUGGGGAAUAUUGCACAAUGGGCGCAAGCCUGAUGCAGCCAUGCCGCGUGUGUGAAGAAGGCCUUCGGGUUGUAAAGCACUUUCAGCGGGGAGGAAGGCGGUGAGGUUAAUAACCUCAUCGAUUGACGUUACCCGCAGAAGAAACACCGGCUAACUCCGUGCCAGCAGCCGCGGUAAUACGGAGGGUGCAAGCGUUAAUCGGAACUACUGGGCGUAAAGCGCACGCAGGCGGUCUGUCAAGUCGGAUGUGAAAUCCCCGGGCUCAACCUGGGAGCUGCAUUCGAAACUGGCAGGCUAGAGUCUUGUAGAGGGGGGUAGAAUUCCAGGUGUAGCGGUGAAAUGCGUAGAGAUCUGGAGGAAUACCGGUGGCGAAGGCGGCCCCCUGGACAAAGACUGACGCUCAGGUGCGAAAGCGUGGGGAGCAAACAGGAUUAGAUACCCGUGUAGUC